rnacentral:rRNA from 1 species
GACGAACGCUGGUGGCGUGCCUAAUACAUGCAAGUAGAACGCUGAAGAGAGGAGCUUGCUCUUCUUGGAUGAGUUGCGAACGGGUGAGUAACGCGUAGGUAACCUGCCUGGUAGCGGGGGAUAACUAUUGGAAACGAUAGCUAAUACCGCAUAAAAUUGAUUAUUGCAUGAUAAUUAAUUGAAAGAUGCAAUUGCAUCACUACCAGAUGGACCUGCGUUGUAUUAGCUAGUUGGUGAGGUAACGGCUCACCAAGGCGACGAUACAUAGCCGACCUGAGAGGGUGAUCGGCCACACUGGGACUGAGACACGGCCCAGACUCCUACGGGAGGCAGCAGUAGGGAAUCUUCGGCAGUGGGGGGAACCCUGACCGAGCAACGCCGCGUGAGUGAAGAAGGUUUUCGGAUCGUAAAGCUCUGUUGUAAGAGAAGAACGGGUGUGAGAGUGGAAAGUUCACACUGUGACGGUAUCUUACCAGAAAGGGAUGGCUAACUACGUGCCAGCAGCCGCGGUAAUACGUAGGUCCCGAGCGUUGUCCGGAUUUAUUGGGCGUAAAGCGAGCGCAGGCGGUUAGAUAAGUCCGAAGUUAAAGGCUGUGGCUUAACCAUAGUAUGCUUUGGAAACUGUUUAACUUGAGUGCAGAAGGGGAGAGUGGAAUUCCAUGUGUAGCGGUGAAAUGCGUAGAUAUAUGGAGGAACACCGGUGGCGAAAGCGGCUCUCUGGUCUGUAACUGACGCUGAGGCUCGAAAGCGUGGGGAGCAAACAGGAUUAGAUACCCUGGUAGUCCACGCCGUAAACGAUGAGUGCUAGGUGUUAGGCCCUUUCCGGGGCUUAGUGCCGCAGCUAACGCAUUAAGCACUCCGCCUGGGGAGUACGACCGCAAGGUUGAAACUCAAAGGAAUUGACGGGGGCCCGCACAAGCGGUGGAGCAUGUGGUUUAAUUCGAAGCAACGCGAAGAACCUUACCAGGUCUUGACAUCCCUCUGACCGCUCUAGAGAUAGAGUUUUCCUUCGGGACAGAGGUGACAGGUGGUGCAUGGUUGUCGUCAGCUCGUGUCGUGAGAUGUUGGGUUAAGUCCUGCAACGAGCGCAACCCCUAUUGUUAGUUGCCAUCAUUCAGUUGGGCACUCUAGCGAGACUGCCGGUAAUAAACCGGAGGAAGGUGGGGAUGACGUCAAAUCAUCAUGCCCCUUAUGACCUGGGCUACACACGUGCUACAAUGGCUGGUACAACGAGUCGCAAGCCGGUGACGGCAAGCUAAUCUCUGAAAGCCAGUCUCAGUUCGGAUUGUAGGCUGCAACUCGCCUACAUGAAGUCGGAAUCGCUAGUAAUCGCGGAUCAGCACGCCGCGGUGAAUACGUUCCCGGGCCU